rnacentral:rRNA from 1 species
GACGAACGCUGGCGGCGUGCUUAACACAUGCAAGUCGAACGAUGAACCCGGAGCUUGCUCCGGUGGAUUAGUGGCGAACGGGUGAGUAACACGUGAGUAACCUGCCCUUGACUCUGGGAUAACUGCGGGAAACUGUAGCUAAUACCGGAUACGACCCUCGGCGGCAUCGCCAGGGGGUGGUAAGAAUUUCGGUCAAGGAUGGACUCGCGGCCUAUCAGCUAGUUGGUGAGGUAACGGGUCACCAAGGCGACGACGGGUAGCCGGCCUGAGAGGGUGGCCGGCCACACUGGGACUGAGACACGGCCCAGACUCCUACGGGAGGCAGCAGUGGGGAAUAUUGCACAAUGGGCGCAAGCCUGAUGCAGCAACGCCGCGUGAGGGAUGACGGCCUGCGGGUUGUAAACCUCUUUUAGUAGGGAAGAAGCGAAAGUGACGGUACCUGCAGAAAAAGCACCGGCUAACUACGUGCCAGCCGCCGCAGUAA